AUGGCUGUCGUCAGCUCGUGUCGUGAGAUGUUGGGUUAAGUCCCGCAACGAGCGCAACCCUUGCCCUAUGUUGCCAGCGGAUCAUGCCGGGGACUCAUGGGGAACUGCCGGUGAUAAACCGGAGGAAGGUGGGGACGACGUCAAGUCAUCAUGGCCCUUACGCCCAGGGCUACACACGUGCUACAAUGGCCGGUACAAAGGGCUGCAAUCCUGCGAGGGUGAGCGAAUCCCAAAAAGCCGGUCUAAGUUCGGAUUGUAGUCUGCAACUCGACUACAUGAAGUCGGAAUCGCUAGUAAUCGUGUAUCAGCAACGACACGGUGAAUACGUUCCCGGGCCUUGUACACACCGCCCGUCAAGCCAUGGAAGCCGGGAGUGCCCGAAGUCCGUGACCCAACUUCGUGAGGGAGCGGCCGAAGGUAAGUUCGGUGACUGGGGCUAAGUCGUAACAAGGUAGCCGUAGGGGAACCUGCGGCUGGAUCACCUCCUUUCUGGAGAUGCCGAGUAAGGUUUUCGGACCCGAAAAGCUCUCGAGUGUCUACCCGUUCAUCACCUCAAGACUUUCAGUUCUCAUAUAUGAGGCCCGCAUUCUGUGCGUGGCCUCGGUUGUUUGACAAACGUUCUAGCCAGGCAGGGGCAGAAAUCUCGAUCUGGUUUGGAAUUCAGGGUAGAGAGAGAAGAAGAAGUAGACCUUAGGUGUGUCUUUGUAGUCUGAAGGUGUGUGAAGGUUUGAGGUGAGACCGGAAAAAUCGUUUUCCAAGUAUUUUUUCUCAGUUGGGAAAUCGACUGGGGAAAGAGACGAAGGAAUAAUUCUGGUCAAGCGUAUAAGUGCACACGGUGGAUGCCUAGGUACGGACCGGCGAUGAAGGACGUGGCAAGCUGCGAUAAGCCUCGGGGAGCUGCAAGCAAGCUCAGAUCCGGGGAUGUCCGAAUGGGGAAACCCGG
rnacentral:sRNA from 1 species